GUUUAGACCAAAUUAGAAAACCCCAAAUCAAAAGCAGAUUUAAGGGAGAUCAAGAAACCUCUUUAUCUUGCAUGUUUUCUGGAAAACAAAGAAGAAAGCAGAUAAAGCAAAAAAUUAUUUUAAAAAAAACUACAAGAAAAACAAAGAAGAAUGAUGAUAUUUUGAUUCGAAAAUACCGUUUUCCGUUAAAUUUGAACAGUAACCAGGCGUACCUUCAAGAGCACUCCCGUAGUCCUUUCCCCUACCAAAG
rnacentral:lncRNA from 1 species